rnacentral:rRNA from 1 species
UACGAAGGGUGCAAGCGUUAAUCGGAAUUACUGGGCGUAAAGGGUGCGUAGGCGGUUGUUUAAGUCUGUCGUGAAAUCCCCGGGCUCAACCUGGGAAUGGCGAUGGAUACUGGGCAGCUAGAGUGUGUCAGAGGAUGGUGGAAUUCCCGGUGUAGCGGUGAAAUGCGUAGAGAUCGGGAGGAACAUCAGUGGCGAAGGCGGCCAUCUGGGACAACACUGACGUUGAAGCACGAAAGCGUGGGGAGCAAACAGG